UUUGUGAUUUAUCUAUUUCAGGUAAAAUAUAUGUGAUUCAUUGAGAAAUAUAUGGAACAUGGAAUCAGUUAUUGCUUUUGGAAAUGAAAAUCUAAUCGUCUUAUGUGUCAUAACUGUGGCUAUUUUAGUAAUAUCCAUUGUUUAUCAAACAAAAACUAGACGUAGAAAAGAAUUAGUAGGAUAUGUUAGCGCACUUAAUGUAUUUCCUGUGAAAUCUUGCAAAGGGAUGCCACUAAACUCGGCUGAAGUUACUAAUUUAGGAAUAAAGCAUGACAGGCAAUUUGUUUUGGUGAAUAAAUUUGGAACUUUUAUGACUUUGCGGAGAUACCCAAAGCUUGUGUUGAUAAAUCAGAAAAUAACAGAGGACGAGAUUGUUUUACAAGUGGAUGGAAUGCCUUUGUUAAAGCUACCUUUGUUUAUGACAGAAGGAGAAUUUUCAAGAGAGAUAAAAGUGUUUCGAAAAUCAGCCGUUGGUGUUCAUGUAUCUCAGGAGGCAGACGAUUGGUUUGCAGAGUAUUUGAAUGUGAAGGGGUGUCAAUUGUUUUGUUUCCAAUUGGGUGGAAAACCUCGCUUUUCUGAUGAUAAUAAUGUCAAAGUGGCCAACUACAGCAACGAGAACGACACACUUAUGUUUGCCGAUAGUUGUCCCAUCCUACUCAUGUCAGAAGGGACUCUUGCCGAGUUAAAUCUCAGUUUGGAUUCAAAAGUUGAUGUUAGCCGCUUUCGACCUAAUAUUGUGGUUACCAAAUGCAUGCCACAUGCAGAGGAUAAAUGGGGCUUGAUACAGAUUGGCGAGACGCAUCUUCAAGGACUUUACCCCUGUCCUAGAUGUGUUGCUGUUGCUGUUGACAACUCAACUGCUGAACUCGAUAAAAAUGUAUUACCAACGAUCUUGAGGGUGAGUCCAGCCAGUGACGACUACCCUAUUUUAAAGGGAGAGGCCGUAUUGGGAUUUAACUAUGGUGUACGUAAGCAAGGAGAGAUUCGUGUUGGCGAUCCGGUUUAUAAGCUGAUAUAAAACUAGUAUCUUUCCGGCGAAUGCAAUAUCUCAAGUAUGUCUUUGUGUAGCAAAUAGAAGCUUCAAGAUUCGUACACAAUUUCGCGCCUUCGCGUUCGCCAGUGUAGAAAUUUAAUCAGAAAAUACGCGCAAAACCUGCGCAAAAACUAAAAUUUGACCUUGUGCGAAAAUUAUUACGCUCGAAAUUUUUUUCACUGCGAAAAAUUGACAAGCACGAAUAAGGUAUUAUGCCACUAAGGUCUAUUUGACGGAUGGGAAUCGAGUAGACACCUUAAAGGGAAUUUUGGAUAUUUUUUUCUUUUUUUAAAAAAACUUACACAAAACUCCCACACACUUGAAACAGGAUAAAAAGUUAAUUUUGAUCAUUCUCAAUUAUAAUUUCAGUGAAACCUGGUGUUUUAAGCAUGUUUCCUGAUUUUGUUGUCUUUUUAUUACAAAUACACUAUGAUACAAAAACAAAUAUAUCCAUUGAUUUGCAUUAAUAGUGAUAAUUAUUUGCUCUUCUAAAGCUUACAUAAACUUUUUCCGUACUUAGCCACCGGGUUUUUCUGUUUACAUGGACAAAUAUCCAUCCCGUUUAACCGGGAUCCCGGCUCACUUGCCCGCGAUCUCGGUUGACCGAGUUUCCCGACGUAACCAGGGCGAGACGAAUAUGCACCAUAUAAACACGGUUUCAUUAUUCAGCGCUCUUUCGCAAAUACCGAGAUCUCGGUCAUGCGGGAUAUCUCGGUGGACCGAGUCUCCCGGUCUCAUAUAAAAAGGCCCUUAUUCAAUUUUGUGAACCUUGACGUGGUGUGUUAUGGGCGUCGCAAGCUUUCGAAUGCCGACGUUAAUUAGGAUUGAAAGGCUAUGUUGCAAACUUGCUUAGCUUGUGAAUUGCUCUAAUCUUAAUCAGAACAUGUAAAACGAAAGAAAGCAUUGCGUUGUGGUGUUGGGAGGAAUAUGACGUCAUUAGUUCAUAAAUUCCAGUUCGUAAAGAAUUAUUAUUGGUUAGGACAAUUGUUAUACAAUAUAUAUAUAUAUAUAUAUAGCGUUUUAUUUUUUGUUCUGUUUAUAUUAGCUCUUAAUAAGACUGGUUUAUCAAAUUGUUUGCAUUCUCAGAAAAUGGAGAAGUGGCUCUCAAGUCAAAAUAUAGAACUUUCUUGGAAGUUAUUUGAAGAAAAGAAAAGUCUACUAAAUAAGCCGAAUAAAAAUGCAAAUUUAUAAAGAAGUUGAAAUAGAUUAAAAGUCAAAAAGUUAGUAAAAAUAUAAUAUUUUUUCAUUAAUAAAUUGACGAAGAUAAGAAAAUUAUUCGUAAUUCGUAGUAUCUUAAUUCUCAGAAAUUAAUUUAAUAUUUACCUCCUACAUAGAAAUGCUACACGGGUACAGCAAAAAUUUAUUCUUUACUCGUGACAUUAAAUUAAAAAGCUCCUCAAAUAUUUCAAAUUUUUGUGGAAAAAAAAGAUCAAACUGAACAUCAAUCAAAUGUCAUCAAAUUUGAUUCUAUAAAAAGAGUGGCAGCCCUGGAAAAUGUGUUUUUUUCUUUAUAUUUUGAAUGUAUGAAGAUAAGUUACAGUUUUUAAAAUAUACUUUUUACAAUGUAA